CCUACGGGUGGCAGCAGUGAGGAAUAUUGGUCAAUGGACGCAAGUCUGAACCAGCCAUGCCGCGUGCAGGAAGACGGCUCUAUGAGUUGUAAACUGCUUUUGUACGAGGGUAAACGCAGAUACGCGUAUCUGUCUGAAAGUAUCGUACGAAUAAGGAUCGGCUAACUCCGUGCCAGCAGCCGCGGUAAUACGGAGGAUUCAAGCGUUAUCCGGAUUUAUUGGGUUUAAAGGGUGCGUAGGCGGUCGGAUAAGUAAGAGGUGAAAUCCCGAGGCUCAACUUCGGAAUUGCGUUUGAUACUGUCAGGCUAGAGAGUAGUAGCGGUAGGCGGAAUGUAUGGUGUAGCGGUGAAAUGCUUAGAGAUCAUACAGAACACCGAUUGCGAAGGCAGCUUACCAAGCUACUUCUGACGUUGAGGCACGAAAGCGUGGGGAGCAAACAGGAUUAGAUACCCCAAUAGUC
rnacentral:rRNA from 1 species